ACGUAGUUUGAUCGAUGGCUCGAAGAACGAACGCUGGCGGCAUGCCUAACACAUGCAAGUCGAACGAGACCUUCGGGUCUAGUGGCGCACGGGUGCGUAACACGUGGGAAUUUGCCUCGGGGUAUGGAAUAACUCAGGGAAACUUGAGCUAAUACCAUAUAAUGUCUUCGGACCAAAGAUUUAUCGCCCUGAGAUAAGCCCGCGUAGGAUUAGCUAGUUGGUGGGGUAAAGGCUCACCAAGGCGACGAUCCUUAGCUGGUCUGAGAGGAUGAUCAGCCACACUGGGACUGAGACACGGCCCAGACUCCUACGGGAGGCAGCAGUGGGGGAAUAUUGGACAAUGGGCGAAAGCCUGAUCCAGCAAUGCCGCGUGAGUGAUGAAGGCCUUCGGGUUGUAAAGCUCUUUUACUCGGGACGAUAAUGACGGUACCGAGAGAAUAAGCCCCGGCUAACUCCGUG
rnacentral:rRNA from 1 species